UACGUAGGGUGCAAGCGUUAAUCGGAAUUACUGGGCGUAAAGCGUGCGCAGGCGGUUAUGUAAGACAGUUGUGAAAUCCCCGGGCUCAAUCUGGGAACUGCAUCUGUGACUGCAUAGCUAGAGUACGGUAGAGGGGGAUGGAAUUCCGCGUGUAGCAGUGAAAUGCGUAGAUAUGCGGAGGAACACCGAUGGCGAAGGCAAUCCCCUGGACCUGUACUGACGCUCAUGCAAGAAAGCGUGGGGAGCAAACAGG
rnacentral:rRNA from 1 species